UACGUAGGGAGCAAGCGUUGUCCGGAAUCAUUGGGCGUAAAGCGCGCGUAGGUGGCCACAUAAGUCCGUUGUGAAAGUCAAAGGCUCAACCUUUGAAAGCCGAUGGAUACUGUGUGGCUAGAGUACGGGAAGAGGCGAGUGGAAUUCCUGGUGUAGCGGUGGAAUGCGCAGAUAUCAGGAGGAACACCAAUAGCGAAGGCAGCUCGCUGGGGCGGUACUGACGCUGAGACGCGAAAGCGUGGGGAGCAAACAGG
rnacentral:rRNA from 1 species